AAUCAAGUUGCAAUGAACCCCACGAACACAGUUUUUGAUGCCAAGCGUCUGAUUGGACGCAGGUUUGAUGAUGCUGUUGUCCAGUCUGAUAUGAAGCAUUGGCCUUUUGUGGUGGUGAAUGAUGCAGGCAGGCCCAAGGUCCAAGUAGAAUACAAAGGAGAGACAAAAAGUUUCUAUCCAGAGGAGGUGUCCUCCAUGGUUCUGACAAAGAUGAAGGAAAUUGCAGAAGCCUAUCUGGGAAAGACUGUUACCAAUGCUGUGGUCACAGUACCAGCUUACUUCAAUGAUUCUCAGCGUCAGGCUACCAAAGAUGCUGGAACUAUUGCUGGUCUGAAUGUUCUUAGGAUUAUAAAUGAGCCAACUGCUGCUGCUAUUGCUUAUGGCUUAGACAAAAAGGUUGGAGCUGAAAGAAAUGUGCUAAUCUUUGACCUUGGAGGUGGCACUUUUGAUGUGUCAAUCCUCACUGUUGAGGAUGGAAUCUUUGAGGUCAAAUCUACAGCUGGAGAUACUCACUUGGGUGGCGAAGACUUUGACAACCGAAUGGUCAACCAUUUUAUUGCUGAGUUUAAGCGCAAACAUAAGAAGGACAUCAGUGAGAAUAAAAGAGCUGUCCGUCGCCUCCGUACUGCUUGCGAACGUGCUAAGCAUACUCUAUCUUCCAGCACCCAGGCCAGUAUUGAGAUUGAUUCCCUUUAUGAAGGAAUCGACUUCUAUACCUCCAUUACCCGUGCCCGAUUUGAAGAAUUGAAUGCUGAUCUGUUCCGUGGCACCCUGGACCCUGUAGAGAAAGCCCUUCCAGAUGCCAAACUAGACAAGUCACAGAUUCAUGACAUUGUCCUGGUUGGUGGUUCUACCCAUAUCCCCAAGAUUCAAAAGCUUCUCCAAGACUUCUUCAAUGGAAAAGAACUGAAUAAGAGCAUCAACCCUGAUGAGGCUGUUGCUUAUGGUGCAGCUGUCCAGGCGGCCAUCUUAUCUGGUGACAAAUCCGAGAAUGUUCAGGAUUUGCUACUAUUGGAUGUCACUCCUCUUUCUCUGGGUAUUGAGACUGCUGGUGGAGUUAUGACUGUGCUCAUU